AUUGAACGCUAGCGGGAUGCCUUACACAUGCAAGUCGAACGGAGUGGCGAACGGGUGAGUAAUGUAUCGGAACGUGCCCAGUAGCGGGGGAUAACUACGCGAAAGCGUAGCUAAUACCGCAUACUAUUUGAGCGGCCGAUAUCGGAUUAGCUAGUUGGUGGGGUAACGGCUCACCAAGGCGACGAUCCGUAGCUGGUUUGAGAGGACGACCAGCCAAACUGGGGCUGAAAAAAGGCCCCGGAGCCUACGGGGGGCAACAGUGGGGAAUUUUGGACAAUGGGGGAAACCCGGAUCCAGCCAUCCCGCGUGGGGGAUGAAGGCCCUCGGGGUGGAAAGCACUUUUGGCAGGAAAGCGGUACCUGCAGAAUAAGCACCGGCUAACUACGUGCCAGCAGCCGCGGUAAUAC
rnacentral:rRNA from 1 species